AACGAACGCUGGCGGCAUGCCUAACACAUGCAAGUCGAACGAGACCUUCGGGUCUAGUGACGCACGGGUGCGUAACGCGUGGGAACCUGCCUUUAGGUUCGGAAUAACUCAGAGAAAUUUGAGCUAAUACCGGAUGAUGUCUUCGGACCAAAGAUUUAUCGCCUUUAGAUGGGCCCGCGUUGGAUUAGCUAGUUGGUGUGGUAAAGGCGCACCAAGGCGACGAUCCUUAGCUGGUCUGAGAGGAUGAUCAGCCACACUGGGACUGAGACACGGCCCAGACUCCUACGGGAGGCAGCAGUGGGAAUAUUGGACAAUGGGCGAAAGCCUGAUCCAGCAAUGCCGCGUGAGUGAUGAAGGCCUUAGGUUGUAAAGCUCUUUACCGGAUGAUAAUGACAGUACCGGGAGAAUAAAGCUCCGGCUAACUCCGUGCCAGCAGCCGCGGUAAAGUGACUACUG
rnacentral:rRNA from 1 species